rnacentral:rRNA from 1 species
ACGGGUGAGUAACGCGUGGGAACGUGCCUUCCGGUUCGGAAUAACCCUGGGAAACUAGGGCUAAUACCGGAUACGCCCUUACGGGGAAAGGUUUACUGCCGGAAGAUCGGCCCGCGUCUGAUUAGCUAGUUGGUGGGGUAACGGCCUACCAAGGCGACGAUCAGUAGCUGGUCUGAGAGGAUGAUCAGCCACACUGGGACUGAGACACGGCCCAGACUCCUACGGGAGGCAGCAGUGGGGAAUAUUGGACAAUGGGCGCAAGCCUGAUCCAGCCAUGCCGCGUGAGUGAUGAAGGCCUUAGGGUUGUAAAGCUCUUUUAUCCGGGACGAUAAUGACGGUACCGGAGGAAUAAGCCCCGGCUAACUUCGUGCCAGCAGCCGCGGUAAUACGAAGGGGGCUAGCGUUGCUCGGAAUCACUGGGCGUAAAGGGCGCGUAGGCGGCGUUUUAAGUCGGGGGUGAAAGCCUGUGGCUCAACCACAGAAUGGCCUUCGAUACUGGGACGCUUGAGUAUGGUAGAGGUUGGUGGAACUGCGAGUGUAGAGGUGAAAUUCGUAGA